AGGGGUGUAGCUCAGAGGUAAAGCAUGUGCUUGGUAUUAAGCUCAAGAACCUGGGUUGGAUUUCCUACACCAUUA
rnacentral:tRNA from 1 species